UAUUUAUAAAAAUAAAGUAUUAAAUGGAUACUUAGGUUUCAUAAAAGAAAAGGACGUAUUUUUACGAAAAAUAUAAUAUUUUUUAUUAUAUGUUUCCUAUAAGUAAACUUUUUUGUAAAAGAAAAAUUUAAAUUUAGCGAAGUGAAACAUCUCAGUAACUAAAGGAAAAUAAAUCAACCGAGAUUUCGAUAGUAGUGGCGAGCGAAUUCGAAAGUAAAUUUUAUUAUUCGUAUAUAACUUUGAAUAAUUAAAAUGGGGGACCACCCUCAAAAAAAAGCUUUAUGAAAAUCGAUAGUGCAAAGUACCGCGAGGGAACAGUGAAAAGUACACAAUGUGAGUGAAAAGAUCUUGAAAUUUAAUACUUACAAUCAGUUAAUGUAUACUAUUUAUAUUAACGUACCUUUUGUAUAAUGAAUUAGUGAGUAAAUAAUUAUAGCAAGCUUAAGUGUUUAAUGAAAGCAUAGUGAAAUCAAUAAAAGUUAUAAUUUUUUGACCCGAAACCAAGUGAUCUAACUAUGAGCAGGUUGAAAUAUAGUGUACUAUAUGAAGGACUGAACUAAUAUCUGUUGCAAAAGAUUUGGAUGACUUGUAGUUAGGGGUGAAAGGCCAUUCAAACUUAGUGAUAGCUGGUAUUCCGCGAAAGCUAUUUAGGUAGUGCGUUCUAAAAAUUAUAAUAGGGGUAGAGCACUUAUUAAUCUUUAGGAUUUUUUUCGAAAAAUUUUUGAAGUUAUUAAAACUCCGAAUACUAUAUAUAUUUGUUAGAGCAGGCAGACUAUGUACGCUAAGGUUCAUAGUCGAGAGGGAAACAGCCCAGAAUGUAUAUUAAAGUCUAUAAAAAUUCUUAAGUGGGAAAAGUAUAAACCUAAUAAAAUUAACCGAAAGGUUAGCUUGGAAGCAGCUAUACCUUUAAAAAGAGCGUAAUAGAUUUACGGAAAUAAUAUUAGGAUUUUGCUGAAAAUGUAACAAGGCUAAAGAAUUUACUGAAAUAACAUAUUUUAAAUUAAUUUUAAAAUGGUAGCGGAACAUAUCAUAUAUUAUAAAGUAAAAUUGUAAAAUUUUAUGAGAUAUUGAUAAAGAUUAUGCUAAUAUGAGUAACGAAAAUGAUGUGAAAAUCAUCAUCACUGAAAAUCCAAGGGUUUCAAAAUUUUUGGUUCGUCUAAUUUGAGUUAAUCGGUCUCUAAGGAGUAAAUGAAAAUUGAAUCUGAUGAGAAUUAUUUAUAUAAUUAAUAAAUUAGUAUUUAAACAAGGAAAAUAAUUUUGAAUUAGUUAAUAUAUUUUAAUUUAAUUUUUUUUUCUUUCAGGAAAACAAAAUAAUAUAUAAACCGUACCCUAAACCGUCACAGGUGGAUAAGUAUAAAUGUACUAAAGUGAGUGAGUGAACAAUAUUGAAGGAACUCGGCAAAUUAGCUCUGUAACUUCGGAAGAAAGAGUGCCUUUUUAGGUGAUGCUAAAUAGGGGGUAGCGACUGUUUAUUAAAAACACAAGACUUUGCAAAAUUGAAAAAUGAUGUAUAAAGUCUGACACCUGCCCGGUGCUGUUGAAUAAAGGAUAAAAUUAAAAUUAUUAUAUAAUUUGAUGUUUUUGAAAAGAAAAAACAGUAAACGGCGGCUGUAACUCUGACGGUCCUAAGGUAGCGAAAUUCCUUGUCGGGUAAGUUCCGACCAGCAUGAAUGGUGUAACGACUCCCCCACUGUCUCCAAUAUUGACUCAGUGAAAUUGAAAUUCCCGUGAAGAUGCGGGAGUAUUUACGGCUAGACGGAAAGACCCUGUGCACCUUUACUACAACUUAAUAUUGAUACAACAAAAAAUUGUUUAGAUAAGUGGGAACCUAUGACUAAUUAAAUAUUUUUAAUUAUGAGGUAAUAAUGUAAAACCACUCAAUUAUUUUGAUUGUAUUCUUAUUCUUUUAGAAAACAGUAUUAGGAUGGUAGUUUGACUGGGGUGGUCUCCUCCUAAAAAGUAACGGAGGAGUACAAAGGUAAGUUCAUAGUAUUUAUAUAUCGGCAUAUUUUUUUAAAAAUAUUUUUUGAUUAUUAUAAUAAUUUUUUAUUUUUUAUUAGAUUGUAAAAUAUAAAAUAAUUAAAACCAUUUUUUAAAUACUAGAAGAGAAUAAUGGCAUAAACUUGCUUGACUGUAAGAUUGACAAAUCUAGCAGGGACAUUAAAAGUCGGUCAUAGCGAUCCGUAUGGUACUACGUGGAAAGGCCAUCGCCAACGGAUAAAACGGUACGCCAGGGAUAACAGGCUAAUAACUCCUGAGAGUCCUUAUCGACGGGGUUGUCUGGCACCUCGAUGUCGGCUCAUCGCAUCCUGGUGCUGAAGAAGGUUCCAAGGGUUCGGCUGUUCGCCGAAUAAAGCGGUACGUGAGCUGGGUUUAAAACGUCGUGAGACAGUUUGGUCCCUAUCUACCGUAAAUGUAUAAGAAUUACUAAAGAUCUGACCCUAGUACGAGAGGAUCGGGGAAGGCUAAUCUAUGGUUGACUAAUUGUAUAAAUAAAUGCAUAGUUAGGUAGCUACAUUAGUUAAGAAUAAUCGCUGAACAAAUCUAAGUGAGAAGUCUACUUUUAAUCAAGUUCUUAUUUAAAAAAAUAAUAGACUAUUAUUUUAAUUAGGCUUAGUAUGAUAAAUAGUAAUAUUUUAUGUAUAUAAGUGCUAAUAUUUUUAAAUAUUUUAAAU
rnacentral:rRNA from 1 species